rnacentral:rRNA from 1 species
UACGGAGGGUGCGAGCGUUGUCCGGAAUCAUUGGGCGUAAAGGGCGCGUAGGUGGCCUGGUCAGUUCGUGGUGAAAGCGCGGGGCUCAACCCCGCGUCGGCCAUGAAUACUGCUAGGCCUGAGCACUGUAGAGGCAGGCGGAAUUCCGGGUGUAGCGGUGGAAUGCGUAGAGAUCCGGAAGAACACCGGUGGCGAAGGCGGCCUGCUGGGCAGUAGCUGACACUGAGGCGCGACAGCGUGGGGAGCAAACAGG